rnacentral:RNase_P_RNA from 1 species
GUCGCAAAACGGUUUGUCGCUUAUCGAGAAACGAUAAGAGGAAAGUCCGGACAGCACAGAGCACCGCACUUCCUAACGGGAAGGCAAUUGCCGGGAAACCGGCAAUUGACAGAAAGUGCCACAGAAACUAUACCGCCUGCCUAUGGGCAGGUAAGGGUGAAAACGUGGGGUAAGAGCCCACGUCCCGGUGAGGUGACUCGCCGGGAGGGUAAACCUUGCGGGCUGUAAGAGCAAGUAAACCGGCUAUCCGUCUAACGCGGAUAAGGGUGGCUCGCCCGACUGCCGGAGGGUGGCUCGCUUGAGGAUGUGUGUGAACACAUCCCCAGAUAAAUGACAAAUUAAAACAGAAUCCGGCUUACGGUUUUGCGGCUUUU